AGAGUUGCGAGAGAGGGGAAAAGGAAAUAAUAAGAACAUAAGAGAGGCUCAGAUCAUCCAGUCUAGGAGGCCAGGGAAUACCUUCUAGAGAAGGUGACGCUAGAACUGUGAUGCCAGAAGAAGCUGAGCAGCCUUAUUUCAUAAUGUCCUUUUUUGUAUCACGGUUUUGAGCAUGCAGCCUCAUUCACUUUGUGGUUUUCCAGUUGCACCCAUGUUUGUUUUGGGGCACACUCUUGCUCUUCCACUGGCCAACAAAUUCCUGAAGACACAAAGUUUUUUUCAACCUCCGUACUUCCCAUUCAAGUACUCUGUCUGGCCCUGACACUAAGUCCCAGACACCUUUGUCUCUUUGGUUUGGUUGGAUGCACUGGAUUUCUAUGCGAGGAUCCUUUUACUCCCUUGUGCUGCUCAUCCUCAUCUUGUAGUACAAAGGUGUGAGCCUUUUCCCUAGGUUUAGAUCCACUAGCCCUCAGAGGAACAGAAUGAUUAAGGAAAUCACACAAUGAAAUCAAGGAAACCAGGGAGCUCUGUGACUUCAAGCAAGUCACCUAAUCACUCUGAGCUUCAGUUUCCUCAUCUGCUGAGUGGGGCUGAAGCAUGCCUUGCCUAUGUUGCAGGGCAUUUUGGACACUCACUGAGAGAACUGAUGUAAAAAAAGCUCUGCAGAUGGGGAGGAUUACAACAAAGCUCUCGUGGAUGAGAGAGGCAGAAUUUCAUUUCAGCUUCACAGGAUUGUUCGAUCCUCACUGGGGAGGAGGUAACUUCUUUGGCAUGAGAGUUGAUGUGACACUGAGAUGAGAGGAAUAGGUGAGCAAAGCCUGUUUGGCGACCAGGAAGAAGAGUUGUGGGAACCAGUACCUCAAGAACUGGAGAAAAUUCUGGACCUUCACAAUUAUUACCACCAAACACUACCAACUGCCAUCACCAAGCUUCAACAAUCUCUCCCUUAGACAGCUAUCCAUUAUGGAAAUACCUGCUCAGCAUGGUUCUUCCUAAAAAUGUUGCUCUAUAUCAUGACAGUCAUUAUACACUACCUCCCAACGGGAUCUGUUUGGUUAUUUUAACUGUGUUUCUAUUGGCAGUGUAUAAGAUGAAACACCUUCUAAUUAGUCUUGAACAUCCCCCUGAAGAUAUUUACCAGUUAUCCAUAGCUAUGUAACAAACCAUCCAAAACUUAGUGGCUUAACACAACCAUUUAUUUAGCUCAUGAUUCUGUGGGUUGGCAAGUUGGGCUAUCCUCAAGUGGGCGGUUCUCCUGCUGGUCUUGGCUGGGUUUACUCAUUUGUCCAUGUAUACUGUGGGUCAGCGGGGAAGCUCUGUUUCUGGGGGUCAGCUGGCUGUCAAUUGAGGGUAAUGGAGUCAACUAAGCUAUGUGUCUUUCAUCAUUUAGCAGACUAGCCUGGGCUUGGUCACAUGGUGGUAGUCUCAGUGUUCCAAGAACAGCAAGAGAACAAGCUGUGAGGCCUCUUGAAGCCU
rnacentral:lncRNA from 1 species